GACAGAGGUCCCGAGCGUUAGGCGGAAUCACUGGGCUUAAAGCGUGUGUAGGCGGAUUGGUAAGUACCUUGUGAAAUCCCAACGGCUUAACCGUGGAACUGCUUGGUAUACUGCUUAUCUUGGGCCACUUAGGGGCUACCGGAACAAACGGUGGAGCGGUGAAAUGCGUAGAUAUCGUUUGGAAACGCCAAUGGUGAAAACAGGUAGCUGGGAGUGUGCCGACGCUGAGACACGAAAGCCAGGGGAGCGAACGGG
rnacentral:rRNA from 1 species